rnacentral:rRNA from 1 species
AACGAACGCUGGCGGCAGGCUUAACACAUGCAAGUCGAACGCAUCCUUCGGGGUGAGUGGCAGACGGGUGAGUAACGCGUGGGAACGUGCCCUUCAGUUCGGGAUAACCCAGGGAAACUUGGGCUAAUACCGGAUACGUGCGAGAGCAGAAAGAUUUAUCGCUGAAGGAUCGGCCCGCGUCUGAUUAGCUAGUCGGUGGGGUAAUGGCCCACCAAGGCGACGAUCAGUAGCUGGUCUGAGAGGAUGAUCAGCCACAUUGGGACUGAGACACGGCCCAAACUCCUACGGGGGGCAGCAGUGGGGAAUAUUGGACAAUGGUCGCAAGCCUGAUCCAGCCAUGCCGCGUGAGUGAUGAAGGCCUUAGGGUUGUAAAGCUCUUUCGUCCGGGACGAUAAUGACGGAACCGGAAGAAGAAGCCCCGGCUAACUUCGUGCCAGCCGCCGCAGUAA